rnacentral:rRNA from 1 species
ACUCCUACGGGAGGCAGCAGUGGGGAAUAUUGCACAAUGGGGAAACCCUGAUGCAGCCAUGCCGCGUGUGUGAAGAAGGCCUUCGGUUGUAAAGCACUUUCAGUAGGGAGGAAGGUAGUGUAGUUAACACCUGCAUUAUUUGACGUUACCUACAGAAGAAGCACCGGCUAACUCCGUGCCAGCAGCCGCGGUAAUACGGAGGGGUGCGAGCGUUAAUCGGAAUUACUGGGCGUAAAGCGCAUGCAGGCGGCCUGUUAAGUCAGAUGUGAAAGCCCGGGGGCUUAACCUCGGAAUUGCAUUUGAAACUGGCAGGCUAGAGUCUUGUAGAGGGGGUAGGAAUUUCAGGUGUAGCGGUGAAAUGCGUAGAGAUCUGAAGGAAUACCAGUGGCGAAGGCGGCCCCCUGGACAAAGACUGACGCUCAGAUGCGAAAGCGUGGGGAGCAAACAGGAUUAGAUACCCUGGUAGCACAGAG